CCUAAUUCCAUUCACUUUACAGCCGCAUACACCGACUCCUCUCCUUUUCCCUCUCAUUUCUUGUCUGGAACAUUAUCCUCUCAAAAUCCUUCACUGCCAUCAUCUCUUUUAACUAUAACUCCAAACACACACAUACAUAACCUAAACCAAGACACCCUCUCGGUCCAGUGACCGGCGGCCGGCGGAACCGUGAAGCCGGUGGUCCUCUCCGGCAAGACACCUCCGCAAUCACACACCACUCACACCCCCUUGUCUGUUUCGUCACUGGUGAUGAUCACCGGCGGUGCGACGGUGAUGGAUACGGCAGUCAGCGACACCCUUCAUCUCGUUCCUCUUUCUGACGACACCACACAAACCAGGCGACACCCUCCUUCUCCGACGACAGGAGCCGGAAAUCAGGUCAUUUCUCCGGCCGUUCUUCUGAUAAAGAUGAUACAUGAAGAUGAUGAGCGAUGUGAUGGUGAAGACGGUGAUGAUGCCAAUUAACGGUUACAGCCGUUACUUUUCCGAUUGAUCCAGGUCAGGUUCGGAUCCACUCAGGCCAGAUUGGUUGAAGUGUUCGGUCAACUCAGUAAGGUUAGGUCAACCACAGGCAACAUCAACUUCUGUUCGAGACUCGGUCAAACCCGAGUCCCCUCGGGUCAACUCAGUUGGGUUAAAACCCGGUUCAGAAGGCUCAGUUUGGUUCCAGAAUUUCAAUUCAAGUGACAGCUUGGUUCGAAUCGGUCAACUGGUUUCGGUUCGGGUGUUCGGGUCAACAGCGGGUCAACUCAGUCAAGAUGGUCAAACUUGGUCAACGGUAGUCAGUCAAGACCCGGAAUGCUUUAGUUGCACGCUAGCGAGUUCACUUUCAUGGAAUGACAUCACGAAAUCACGUUAAGCUAGCUUUGCACAGGAAUGUCAAGGUUGCAUUUUCAAAACUAUGGAACGGUUGGAAUAGGAGAACCCAAUGGAGAUUCGAGUACUUAGUGGCGUUCAUUUUCUAGAAGUCUUAGCUUAUUUGCUUCCGCUGUGCAAUGAAGAUACCGGUCCAGUCACACCAAUGCUCUGAUAUUUCGGGGUGUG